CAGACUGCUCUCCCGGGGACCUGCAGAGGCAACCUGCCCUUCGGUGUCUGCUGGAGGAACAAGGGGAGAGAGGGAAGAAGAGAUCACACCAUCUGUUGGAUCCAUAUAUUACAACAUUUGGUGAGUGAAGAAGAAAGCUACAAGGGGGAAAAAAAGCCUUAAAAUUACUUUCCUUUCAAAGCUGAUAUUCAGAAAUGUCCCAUCUCAAAAUCAGUUGUCUUGCUGCCCCAAACAUGAGACUGUCUUACAGAUUACCAUAUACCUUAGAAACAGUCAGCACUGUCUUCCCCAGUCUGUGCCUGACAAAAAGAGUGAGGCACACUGUCCUUAUUGUUACCUGCCUCUAUGUUCAAGACAUUUGGGUCAAGGUAAAAGUUACAAUUUCAUGCUUUUCAUUAUAACUCCUUCCAUGGGUUAAUAGCAUUAUUUUAAAAAACAAACAAAACACAAAACCAAACAAAAAAACCAAAUGAACAAGCAAACCCUAACAACAGAAAGCCAAUGGACAUCUUGAAGCCUCAUGGGACAUGAACAUGAACGCUUAAGCAGGUAUAGAAAAUGAAUGACUUGUGUCUGAAUCCUGCAAUUUAGGAAUACUUUCAAAACAACAAAUUAUAGCUGAACAUAAACUGAAAAUGAUACCA